AAUGUAACUAAAUUUACACAAUAAUUCCGCAGAUAUACAUAAACCUGGUAUAGUAGGUGUGAAUUGUGGCAGUGUCUGUGACAUGCCCAUGCUAGUGGUAUCCCCCAAAGUGAUAAAUAUCAGAGACUUACAUCAACUACGGUUUUCCUCCAACAUUAAGCUGACAUGAUAUAUUUCGAUAUAUCUGAUGUACUGUUAAAGCUAUUUUGAAACCAAGUCACCCACUCCAUAAUGAUAUAGAGGAAUAAUUCAGCUUCAGCCCACGUCACCAAUCACUUCAACAGAAUGACAAUGUGAAAACCUUGAAAAGGUCACAGCAAAUUCUAUGUAACUGAUAUUAGUUUUUUGUUUUCAAAAACACCUGUUUUGUAAACAAGUUCAUCAUAUAUCUGUAGUUAAUGUUUUUCAGGUUAAUUUUCCUGUGACUUUAUCACAUAUUUAUUUAAAAUAUCAAAUAUGUCUAACAUGGUCUAAACUAUUAGAGUUAAACCUUUUCCACAACAUAAAUUGCAAUAAGGGCAUUUAUCAUGACAAAGACUGCUUCAGUUGCUCUUAGAUUAAUUUCACCUAUUUGUAAUACUAUUUAAGCAAUCCAAGUUUCAUUGCAAGUUUUCUGAAUUCAUGUAUUGAUAAGUUUGAAGUUUGAAAAUUUACACCUGAGGAUCAUGAUGUUAAUUUUUAUAUAUAAAUGUCAAGAUGUCUUGACAGACAGCCAUGGUAAGUGAUGGUUAUUUAAGCCUUAUAGAGUAUUAUUGAUACUUGUCUGUUAGAAAAUUUGUACGAAGCCAAUUUAUCAAAUUCAAAAUAGAAUCAUAUUGAAUUUCAUUCCAGCUUACAUCAGACAAUAUCAGUUGUCUGAUGUUGCAAUGUACUCUACAGAGUUGCUUUCUUUGGGCAAGACAGAAAAAAAUCAUUGUCUGUUUUGCCCAGUGUGGGAGACCUGGAGGGGUAGCCUGGUGGUCACAGCGUUCUCCAUAGACAUGGGUUCGAAUUCCCCAUAAUGCGUGAGGCCCAUUUCUGGUGUCACCAAAUGUGAUUUUGUUGGAAUAUUGCUAAAACCAGAGUAAAAUCAUGCUCACCUAUUUCUACUUGUAGCUGAUGUGCAGCAAUACACCUGGUAUACUCCUCAAGGCAGCGAUAAGACCAGCUCAGUUAGUUGAAAUAUAUCAUUGACAGUGUUGUAAUAUCAUACAUAAGGAAAACAAUGAAAGUAGUGGGUGAGUGAGUUGGGUUUUAUGCUGCUUUUAGCAUUAUUCCAGCAAUAUCACAGCUGGGAACACCAGAAAUGGGCUUCAAACAUUGUACCCAUGUGGGGAAUCGAACCCGGAUCUUCAGCAAACACUUAAACCACUAGCUUACCUGACUGAUCUCAACUGAGUAGUAUUUAAAGGAGAAACUACAGUAACAUUGUCUUGUUUCAGUGUGAUUAUAAAUUAUACAAGAUGCAUACUGUGGUGUUCUUUGGUUGUGCAGUCCACCAUGAUUCCAAAUCACAGACAUUCCCUUCACCUAAGCAGUAUUGAAUUUGUUUUCAUAAUCUGUACCAACAUUCUACAAAAUGUAUUGACAUUUUCUCAUCAUUAUGACUGAAUUGGUUCCUGACCCUAGUGCUGGGGGAGUGGAUUCCCAGAUGUUUAAGGCCACAAAUUUGUUGCAGAGUUGCUUCCCUUUGGUGUCUUAGAAACCAAUCUUAAUGGUGUUGAAUCACGGUUUGCAGUGAUCUUGUGUCUUAUAUGGUCAGCUUGAGUUGUCGUGUUGAUGUGUCUGAAAUACCAUUUGUUUGGGUUUUUUCUUUGAAAGGUGUAAAGGUAAAUCAUAAAGAAUGACACCCUGUAUCAUGGAAUGACACCCUGUAUCGUGGAAUGACACCCUGUAUCGUGGAAUGACACCCUGUAUCGUGGAAUGACACCCUGUAUCGUGGAAUGACACCCUGUAUCAUGGAAUGACACCCUGUAUCGUGGAAUGACACCCAGUAUCGUGGAAUGACACCCUGUAUCGUGGAAUGACACCCUGUAUCGUGGAAUGACACCCUGUAUCGUGGAAUGACACCCAGUAUCGUGGAAUGACACCCUGUAUCGUGGAAUGACACCCUGUAUCGUGGAAUGACACCCUGUAUCGUGGAAUGACACCCUGUAUCGUGGAAUGACACCCAGUAUCAUGGAAUGACACCCUAUAUCGUGGAAUGACACCCUGUAUAAAUGACACCUUGUAUGACAUCACCUGUGAAGAUCCGUGUUAGAACUGGUCUUCAGCAACCCAUGCUUGUCACAAGAGGCGACUAACGGGAUUGGAUGGUUGUAUCCCAAUUGCGUAUAAUGAUUGUCAUGAUGUUGAUGACUUGAUAGUCUGGUCCAGACUUGAUUGUUUCCAUACGGCAAGCAGAUAGUUGGAAUAUAGCUGAGUGCGGCAUUAAACAACAAACAAACAAACCUAGUAUCACAGGAUGACACCUCUACCUGGACACCUUGUAUCACAGGAUGACACCUUGUAUCACGUUAUGACACCCUGUAUCAUUGAAUGAAACCUCAGCACAACAGGACACUGACACUGACAACUGCUAACCUGCAAAAAUUGUUUCACAUUCCUGACACUUGCUGUGUGAGCAUAAAGGUCCAGAAUGUGUACUGUUGCUUUUCAAAUUUCCACUGCUUGAAGUCCUUUUUGUGCCAAAUAUUCUGUUCUUACGUCAGCUUUGAUUUUGAUGUUAAGCAAUGUAUUGAUGCAUAUGGGCAGACAUGAAAUAAAGGAAAUAUUUUCAA